UUCAAAAAGUGUUGAUCUCCGUCAAAAUGAAAGUCAUCGUUAUUGUGUACGCAGCGCUAGUGGGCAGCCUGUUGAUUUCCAUGGCUAUGGCUAUGCAAGAUAAGAAAAAGAAAUAUUCAGGAAUUUAGAGGAGUACAGCUACGAAUAAUAACUUUACUGUAAUUAUAAAGAAUCAUUAAUUAAGGAAUGAUGGUAGCAUGUACUUAGAAAUAAAUACAUCUGUAUUCUAA